GGUGACGUUCUUCGAGCUUCGAAGCUUCCGGCGGUGGAGGUGGCUUAGCUCGGCCGUGUAGAGCUUCGAGUGAUGAAGCUCUCACAGCAAUUGGAAAUGAGCGUGUACUGAAGGUGGGAGGGAAGCAAUUGCACGGUGCUUUUUCGAAUGAAGGGAAAAAUCUUCUCCUUCGUCUCUUUCUUGGAGCAAUUCUGGUGAGUUGUUGCUUGUUGAUGGUGAAGUGUUGAGGUUCAAGAAUUGAAUAGGUGAUGGAGAUUGGUUACGGUUACGGUGGUUCGGUGAACGGAGAUUGGUUGCGGUUGAUGAAGAGAAUGAAUCAACGAAGAAUCCAGAGUAAUUUCCGCGAGAUCUCGAACGAAUCUGUAUCCGAUCCGAAGUCCGGCCGAAUCGUAAGCUCCGAUGAUCCUUCUUCUUCUUCUCGUUCUUAGUUUGUUUUUCUGAAUUCUGUGAAACUCUUUUGGCUAUGGAGUUGUGGUUUUUGGUUUUUGCUACUUCUUCAAUCUCUCUUUCUGUUUCAUUCUUGGAAGGUUGCGUGUAGUUAAAAAUGGUGAGUGAAGAUUGGUGAGGUUCGAAUGGUUCAGAGUUGAGGGAAGGUUUGGUGAUUUGUGAAGAUGGAGAUUACGGUUACGGAUCCGUGGUGGUUGAAGAUUUGGCCAUGGAGUUCGGAGUUUAGUGAAGGUGUGGAUUGGAAGGUGAAGGUUGAUGUUGAAGAAGAUUAGGUGAUGGAGGAAGAAGAAGAAUCUGGAUCGUGAUGAUGAGCAUGGUUGAAGGUUAGUUACAGGUUGAAGAAGAAUCUGGAAAAGUUUGUUAGAGGUUGAAGGAUUGAAGGCAAAAACGAUUUUGGAAUGAGAGGGAAAAUUUUCUGAAACCAAUGAUUGGCAAUGAUUGCAGCUUAUAUAGCAGGAUCUAAGGGGCAAAUUGGAGAAUUAAAUCUGAAAUGAUUCAAUCUGCACCAUCCAGCUGGCAUUAAGUGAAGGACACAUGCUGUCAUGGAAUUGGUAUUGCACAUCGUCCGCUUUGCACUACAGCGGUCAAGCCAAGGAUUACAAAGGUUAGGCUUUGAAGCCUCAUUGCCGGUUGCAUUCGGGUUGAGAUGGCC